UACGGAGGGGGCUAGCGUUGUUCGGAAUUACUGGGCGUAAAGCGUACGUAGGCGGCUUUGUAAGUUAGAGGUGAAAAGCCCGGGGCUCAACUCCGGAAUUGCCUUUAAGACUGCAUCGCUUGAAUCAUGGAGAGGUGAGUGGAAUUCCGAGUGUAGAGGUGAAAUUCGUAGAUAUUCGGAAGAACACCAGUGGCGAAGGCGACUCACUGGACAUGUAUUGACGCUGAGGUACGAAAGCGUGGGGAGCAAACAGGG
rnacentral:rRNA from 1 species